UCAUAGAUUUUGCAGCUUGUAGAAAUAAGUUUUACAAGCUGAGAUAAUCUGCUUUGAUGAUUUGAUUAUUUUUCAAUCUGUUUUGAGAUCAGCUGCCUUCUCAAAAAAUGCAUCCAUGUUACUUUUAGAUAAAGAUUGUGAGGUGAUGCCAGCAUUGAUAUAUAAGGUUGCAUGUCCUCAGUUUAUGCAGGGACCCCCUUUUAUUUUUAUGAUUAACAUUUUUAUUAAAACACGGAAAAACAAAACAUAAAUACACAAAAUCAACUUUUAACACCCGAAACUCGAUUGCCCCAGACAUCACACAAAAUUCUGAACCCUCAACCAAAACCCUUGGAUCUUAACCCACCCCCAAAAAACAUGCGUUGUAUCUCCAUCCUCCGAUUGGCAUCGCCAGCAGGUAGGUGUGUUUUUAAGACCAAGCCUAUACAAUCUAGAGGGGGGUCCAAUAGAAUCUAUGUAAAAUAUUGUACUGCAUAAGGCGAACACUUGCAUCUCUAGAUACAGACUUGACAUUUUUCAGAAUCUUCACUCCUUCCUCCAAUACCAAGUUAAAAUCUUUAUACCAUAAUCUCUCGAUAGACGUUAAAGCUCUGACUCUGAAUUUGCAGGGUGUAAUACACUGAUGCCUCAUGACCUUUUCCAAAAGCAGUAAUCACCUCUAUCAGAGUAUUUGCCACUUUAGGGUGGUGUGUGCUACACACUGAUCUAUAUAUAUAACUGGAUAGCUCAUGACGUCACAACAGUGAAGCUACUGCGCCGCCAUCUUGGUAUUCCCUAACGUUCUGUAUUCCUAUGGGUCUCAAUGGGAAAUCGUCUGUUUUGCAGCAUUACGUUCAGCGGCGCACGUGUUACCUCAAUAGAAACAAGUUUAAGAAACUGAGUGCACGCCUGAAACCGGACCAGCUCACGGGCAUCAAUUAUAAAGUGAUCAAUUGGAAUAGACGAGGAGCAGGACUGGACUUGUAAUCUAGCCUACCGGACAUUUUUCCGGUGGACCGACGCACUUUGGGGUCGAUCAGGGUGGACUGCAUGGCCAUCGGGAGAACCGAGCGGGCCGCUGUGUCGGCCGCGAUAAUCUAAAACGAGCCGCCGCUGAACACUCUCCCCCCAACAAGUUUUGGGCCGAUUUCUCUUUUCAGUCCAGCUCUGACAAGGAGCACAUGGAUAUUGUUGAAGUUAAACAAGUACAAGUUUGCCCAGAGUUUUCUUAAGCCGUUUGGACUGUGAUGCAGCACAUGUUUCCUUGGCAAUGAAGUGGAGGCUGAUGUUUGUGCAGCUUUCUGCAAUGCACUUUGAGUAUGAAGAUGUGAUUGUUGUAUGGUUCUAGGUUGAACAUGUGUGCCUCAAUUUCCUUGAAUGCAGAACCACCAUGGAGAUCCAGAACCGUUGUGGGGACAGAGAUGGGCCUUGUGAGUGUGUGCUGUUGAAGAAAUCUCUCAGCUGUCUUGCAGACUUUCAGGAUGCUGUCUGACGGUCUUAUAAAUCCACCUCAGGACUUCAUGUCGAUCAGUGUGUUCAUCUUGGGAAGAGCUCUCGACACUGAGUGCUGAUAAACAGGCUGAACGUCACUGCCUGAAAUGCCAGCGUAUCAGAAGAUGUUGCCUCCAGUGUCACUGUGCUAUCCGGUGGAGAACUGUUGCCACUAGCUCUGAUGGCAUGUCUUGCUACCAUUCUUUUGAAAGCUGAAUAAUGUGGGAUUGUUGUUAAAUCCAUUAGCAGAUUUGUUCCCACAUAUCUGCAAAUUUUUAUUGUAUUGUUCAGUUUAAGUCAAUUUUUGUGUGUACUUGGAAGCUUUUGUUAUUGAACAAAUAAAUAU